rnacentral:rRNA from 1 species
AGCGAACGCUGGCGGCAUGCUUAGCACAUGCAAGUCGCACGGGCAGUUUCGGCUGUCAGUGGCGGACGGGUGAGUAACGCGUAGGUAUCUAUCCUUGGGUGGGGGACAACCGUGGGAAACUACGGCUAAUACCGCAUGACAACUGAGGUUUAAAGGCGCAAGUCGCCUGAGGAGGAGCCUGCGUACGAUUAGCUAGUUGGUGGGGUAAAGGCCUACCAAGGCUGCGAUCGUUAGCUGGUCUGAGAGGAUGAUCAGCCACAUUGGGACUGAGACACGGCCCAAACUCCUACGGGAGGCAGCAGUGGGGAAUAUUGGACAAUGGGCGCAAGCCUGAUCCAGCAAUGCCGCGUGUGUGAAGAAGGUCUUCGGAUUGUAAAGCACUUUCAACGGUGAAGAUAAUGACGGUAACCGUAGAAGAAGCCCCGGCUAACUUCGUGCCAGCAGCCGCGGUAAUAC